CAAUAUCACCUUGAAACACCUAUUCUCAUACGAACACCGAAGUUAAGCAACGUCGAGCCUGAUCAGUACCUAGAUAGGUGACCUCUCUUGGGAAUACCAAGUGCUGUAA